rnacentral:rRNA from 1 species
UGUUGGGAUACUACCCUUGUUUGAAGGAUGCUCUAACCUCGACCUGUAAGCCAGGCCAGGGACAGUGUCAGGUGGGCAGUUUGACUGGGGCGGUCGCCUCCUAAAGUGUAACGGAGGCGCUCAAAGGUUCCCUCAGAAUGGUUGGAAAUCAUUCGCAGAGUGUAAAGGUAUAAGGGAGCUUGACUGCGAGAGAGACAACUCGAGCAGGUAGGAAACUAGGACUUAGUGAUCUGGUGGUACCGUAUGGAAGGGCCAUCACUCAACGGAUAAAAGCUACCCUGGGGAUAACAGGCUUAUCUCCCCCAAGAGUUCACAUCGACGGGGAGGUUUGGCACCUCGAUGUCGGCUCGUCGCAUCCUGGGGCUGAAGUCGGUCCCAAGGGUUGGGCUGUUCGCCCAUUAAAGCGGCACGCGAG